rnacentral:rRNA from 1 species
UACGUAGGGCGCAAGCGUUGUCCGGAAUUAUUGGGCGUAAAGAGCUCGUAGGCGGCCUGUUGCGUCGACUGUGAAAACCCGUGGCUCAACCAUGUGGUCUGCAGUCGAUACGGGCAGGCUAGAAUUCGGUAGGGGAGACUGGAAUUCCUGGUGUAGCGGUGAAAUGCGCAGAUAUCAGGAGGAACACCGGUGGCGAAGGCGGGUCUCUGGGCCGAUAUUGACGCUGAGGAGCGAAAGCGUGGGGAGCGAACAGG